rnacentral:lncRNA from 1 species
UGCAGAAUUCAUAAAAUCAUGCCUAGCCUUUUUAAUGACCUGGUCAUAUAAUAAAUUAGGGUCCUACAAGUCGUCUAUGAGACCUGUCUUAGCCCCGGCUGUUAGUACCUCUUCAUCAUCCUCCACAAGAAAAUCAAACUAUCUCAAUAUACAUGAAAGUGAUAUCUGCACUCAGUGUGGCCUCAUAUCGAGCUUGUACCUGCUCAAAUCUAGUCCUAACCCC